rnacentral:rRNA from 2 species
GGCAAUAGCCAAUGCAUUAAUAUGAUGCAAUAUCGAAGUCGAAUAAAAUUCUGGGUAGACUAUGAUAAUGACAUUAUCUAUCUAGAUGUCUUGACCAAAAUACGUGCCAGCAGUCGCGGUAAGACGUUAAAGACGAGUGUUAUUCAUGUUUAAUCGGUUUAAAGAGUCCCAAGACUGUUAAUAAAGCCUACUGGGGACACAUUAACUAGAGUUAUAUGAAAGGGGGCUGUGAGGUACUGUCGGGUGGAGAGAUAAAAUUCCAUUAUACAGAUGAUGGCACCAACAAAUGCGAAGGCAUCCUCUUAUGUAAUAACUGACGUUUUCAGACGAAGGCUUAGGGAAGAAAAAUGGAUUAGAUACCCUCGUAUUCUAAGCAGAAAAUGAUGAAUGUCAUAGGUUGAAGAUAAAUAAUAUUUAUUUUGGUCUAUAAAUGAAAGUGUAAGCAUUCCACCUCAAGAGUAAUUUGGCAACAUUGGAACUGAAAUCAUCAGGCCGUUUUUGAAACCAGUAGUGAAGUAUGUUGUUUAAUUUGAUAACCCGCACAAAACCUUACCACUAUUUGCAUAAAUAUUUAUGUAUAUAUUUACAAGUGUUGCACGGCUGUCUUCAGUUGAUGUCGUGAGGCUAGGUUACUCCUAACAAUCAACGCAAACCCUUACUUUAUUUUUAUAUAAAGUUGUUCACCUCUCAUGGGAGAUGCUAAUAGGGA